rnacentral:lncRNA from 1 species
CCAUACAUUACCGGCCAGAGGCAGAGAGCAGUGCCUUGUGGAGCCAGGAAGGGCCUACUGAUGGUCACAAAAAUGUCUUUCCACCUGGCGCCUGUGUGCUACUCUGACGGUGUUGUCUGAAUUAUGGACACAAGGCCCAAGUCUGCUUGAGUUUCCCUUGGAAAUUUUGGACUCCCUGGUGAUGACUCCAAGAUUCAUUACUAGCCAUUGCAGAGGCACCAGCACCCUGAGCAGCGCUGCCAAGCUCCUUCCGCCAGGACUAAACUCAGCAUCGCACCAACAAGCCACCGUCGCUUUGAACUGUCUGUGAGCGUCUGUGCUUGGUCUCCAUUUAUUUUGGUGUCAGAUAAGGUAAACUAUUAUAUGGCAAUGAAAAGAAAGACAAACCCAUGCUCCGUAAAUGAUGUUCAACUGUUGGGAUUAAUUUCUCAGCCGAACAGCAUCUUCAGGACAUCCCUGGGCGGAGAGACACAGAGAACACAAGAGAGUCGUUAUUUUUAAAGUUAACAAAGAAAAAAUGAUUUUGAAUCCUUGCUUAAUUAAAAAUGGAACAGUACAAGAGGGUGACUCACUUCUCCCGUAAGAAGCUGAAAAUUAAAAAUUAUGCAGUAUCCUAAAAGUAUAAAGACUGAUUUAAAUAUUGCUUCACAUAAAAAC